AACGAACGCUGGCGGCAUGCCUAACACAUGCAAGUCGAACGAGACCUUCGGGUCUAGUGGCGCACGGGUGCGUAACGCGUGGGAACCUGCCCUUAGGUUCGGAAUAACUCCCCGAAAGGGGUGCUAAUACCGGAUAAUGUCUUCGGACCAAAGAUUUAUCGCCUUUGGAUGGGCCCGCGUUGGAUUAGCUAGUUGGUAGGGUAAAAGCCUACCAAGGCGACGAUCCAUAGCUGGUCUGAGAGGAUGAUAAGCCACACUGGGACUGAGACACGGCCCAGACUCCUACGGGAGGCAGCAGUGGGGAAUAUUGGACAAUGGGCGAAAGCCUGAUCCAGCCAUGCCGCGUGAGUGAUGAAGGCCUUAGGGUUGUAAAGCUCUUUUACCCGGGAUGAUAAUGACAGUACCGGGAGAAUAAGCUCCGGCUAACUCCGUG
rnacentral:rRNA from 1 species